GGCGCUGCCUCCAACCUGUGCGUGCGCGCGUUGCUCCCAGCUGCCCUAAAUUACAGACGCCGCCAUGAUGGAGAGGGGGGAGCGAAAGGGCAUCAGCUGCAAAAUCCAGGACAAAAAACACACUCCCUGCCCAACUUCACCUCACCAAACAUGCUCUCCGACACAACUGAAAUAUAUGCCCUUCUGCCCAAGAAAACUAAGUGUCCCUACUGAUUGUGCCAAAAAUCAUCAUCUAGCUGAGCAAGCAGCAAAGAAUAGUGUGGCACCUUAUAGACUAACAGACAUUUUGGAGCAUGAGUUUUCGUGAACGAAUAAUUCACCAAGGUGCAGCAAAAAGACCCUGUAUUGCAACACAGGGUUACUUGCUAUUAUUUUUAUUAUUUGUUAAGCAGCAACUGCUUGGUCUAUGUUGGCUAGAAAGGCACGGCUUCAAGAAGCAGCUUUCAAUAACACUCCCAAAUAUAAUAUGCACUACAAAUGCUUCGUGUGACCUGUAAACAGUCCACAAGCGGAUUGCUUGGUGAAAACUGACACCAUCCACAAACAUCAAAGUAUUUGUCAGCCCUACCCAACAAGCUUAGGCCUGGUCUACACUACAAACUUAGGUUGACAUAAGCCACGUUAAGUCGAUCUAGUAAUAUAUGUGUCCAUGCUACUGAGUCCCUUCCAUUGACCUAAGUAGCCUGUAAAGUCAACUUCUAUACUCCACCUCCACAAGAGGCGUAGCACUUGAUUUGACAUCCAUGGGUCAACAUGGGGAUAGUGUAGUAGACACUGUGUUGUGUAAUUCAAGUGAAUUCGCCUCUAGGAGGUGUCCCAGAGUGCUCCACUGUGACCGCUCUGGAGAGUACUUUCAACUCCACUUCAUGUCAGCCAGGUAUACAGGAAACAGACACAUUGCUGUUAAAGCCCUGGGAACUUUUGAAUGUUCAUUUCCUGUUUGAUCAGCAUAGAGAGCUCUCCAGCACAACUGAUCAUGGAGACUCAAGGCUGCAAACACGCUCCAGCAUAGAGUACACGGGAGGUGGUGGACCUUAUUGCUGUCUGAGGAGAAAAGUCUGUGCAGGCAGAGCUCCAGUCCAGCAGAAGAAAUGCUGACAUUUAUGCCAAGAUUGUGCAGGGCAUGGGGGAGAAGAGCUACACCAGGAACACACAGCAGUGCCUUGUGAAAAUAAAGGAGGGUACCAGAAGACAAAGAAGGUGAACAGUUGUUCUGGUUCUGCCUAACAGACAUGCCACUUUAAUGAUGAGCUGCAUGCGAUUCUCAGCGGCAACUGCACAACUACCCCAAAAUGCUCAGUGGAUAUAUAUAUUACCUCAAGCAACAACGAGGAGGACACUGUUGACAAGGAAGAGGAGGAAAAUGUAAGGUAGGCAAGCAGAGGAUCCAUUCUCUCCGACAGGCAAGUCAGGGCCAUCCAGAGGAUUCAAGGGGCCUGGGGCAAAGCAAUUUUUGGGGGCCCCUUCCAUAAAAAAAAGUUGCAAUACUAUAGAAUACUAUAUUCUCUUGGGGGCCCCUGCAGGGCCUGGGGCAAAUUGCCCCACUUGCGCCACCCCCUCCACUACCCCUGGGUGGCCUUGCUGCCAAGAACUGUUUUUAACCCUGGAGAUCAUCCCUUCACAGGACCAAUUGACGGCAUCGCAUGAUGCCAGGGAAGGUACCUCUUCUGAAACCUUGUCCGUUGGGUGCAUCCUCUGCACUGGGACAGAGAGUUUCCCAGAUUAGAAGGCAGAAACAGAAGACUUUGGAGGACAUGUUAAAUGAGUUAAUGCACACCUCAGGGAGUGACAAGACGGAGCUCAGAGCACGAAGGAUUACACUGUCCAAGGACAUGGACAGGGAGGACAGGAGAGUAUGCAGGGAACAAGAACGUGCAGAUU